GGGGAUUUAGCUCAGUGAUAGAGCGCUUGCCUAGCAAGCGCAAGGUCCUGGGUUCGGUCCCCAGCUCCA
rnacentral:tRNA from 1 species